UACGUAGGGUGCGAGCGUUGUCCGGAAUUAUUGGGCGUAAAGAGCUUGUAGGCGGUUUGUCGCGUCUGCUGUGAAAUUUCGGGGCUCAACCCCGAACUUGCAGUGGGUACGGGCAGACUAGAGUGUGGUAGGGGAGACUGGAAUUCCUGGUGUAGCGGUGAAAUGCGCAGAUAUCAGGAGGAACACCGAUGGCGAAGGCAGGUCUCUGGGCCGUAACUGACGCUGAGGAGCGAAAGCAUGGGGAGCGAACAGGA
rnacentral:rRNA from 1 species